rnacentral:lncRNA from 1 species
GGCAUUGUUAGGAUCAUCUUUUCUCUGCCUCUGUAUUGGAUAUGUGCUAUUACUGUGCCACUGAAAGUCAACGGGACUCCUAUCACAUCAGCCACAGUGUCUGCUGCUUUUGUAAUGCUGGCCAUCGGUAGUGGGAGAAACACAAAUGUUGUAAGUAAAUGCAGCACAUGAAAGUGGAAAAGAGAGAGAGAGUAAGGCUUUAAAGACAAAUGUGUUAGCAAUUAUUUUCACUAAAAUGUUGUUGUUCAUAUGUUUAAAGCUGGCACGGAUACGAUGUGUUGAAUUUUUUUUGUUUUUUUGUAAUGAAUUGCUGUGAGAAAAACAAUUGCAGGCAAAUGCCCUGAAAGAAUUAGCACACACGCAAAAGACACCUUAGGAUUUGGAUUGAUUUGAUUCAAGACAUUAGAGUUUUGCAACAACAUAAUGUAGAGGACGAAUGACAGAAUGUUAUAACCAAUCCUGUCUCUUGUGUGAAUCCCCUGCCAUCUGUGUCGCGCAGCCACAUGACUGGCAGAUGUGUUGCUGUCAUUAAUCCUCAGAUUACCACCCAUUGAGAAACAGAAUUUUCCCACAGCAGCCCACAGGCAAAGCUGAGAGGGACCGAGAUGUGUUAUCUCCGGCAGGACUGCCUAAGAUUGGUGAGAUUUAAAAGGGUUCUAGCCCAUUACUGUGAUGCUCCUUAACGGUAGCAUCUGAUGUUGCAUCAUUCUCUGGAGUUGCCUGUUUGUUGCAUAAUUUUAAAAACAAAAUAGAGAUGAAAAAAUUUGAACCACAGAUGUUGCUCCGCAACCCACCAAGGAAUGAUGUAACACAGAAUGAAGUUAAUGUUGCUUGUGUGACAUGGAGUAGCUGGUGCCAGUAUAGCAGGGCUCAAGAGAACAGGAUGAGAGUAUGGGGACGAUACAUACAAUACAACCACAGCUUCCAAACGGCUCAAAUGCACCGUGGAACCGUUUCAAACGGAUCUGUUUGGAGCACUUGUAUACAAUGCAAGGGGAAUACUGAAUAAUACUACACUGAAUUAAUAGGCAGAGGUUUGUAUACCUGCAGGAGGACAACCCCAACAAAAUGUCUGUGACUAAUAAUGCAUGUAAAUCACAAGAAGAGCCCAUUUUCAGUAUUGCCUAUUGUUGUACCCAUGAAAAAUUCCAUAACAAAAUAUUAUGUGUGUAUUCCUGCUAUUGACUUUUCUUCCCUUUUUUCCUUGAGUAUAAUUUUAGUUGCAGUUAUGUGUCUGAUCACCUGCAUAAGCAGAAAAUAUGUUUAUUUAUCACUUUGUCAACCUUGCAGAAAAAAUACUCUCCCAAAGACGAGUGAUUCCUUCUAGUUUUCCUUGAUUGGAUUUUAAUCAAUAAGUCAAUAAGUUCUUGAAUUGUUUUCCCUCGGCAUUGUCAUGAAAAGUUAAGUGUCUCCUUGCCUCAUUAGAAUACUUUUUCUUGUCAAAUCAAGAAUGGAAGCAAUGCCUUUUGUUGUUCCAUUCUAGCUGUGCGACAAUAUAUCACAAUAAUGUGCUUGUCUUUCUUCUUCUCUGUCCAUCUCUGCUCAUUCCUUUCACUGCAGGAGUUGAUCUGCGGUCCCGGCUGUGGAAAUAGAAAGCUGCAGAGUUUGCGAGAUCAGUG